rnacentral:lncRNA from 1 species
CUCAUUUCGACAAUCCUACCAGUCAAGAAUAAGCACCAUGCGAAUUAGAUUUUGAUGGGAACAGAAUAGAUGAGAGUUACGUGACCCUCAUUGGAUGGGGCAGAGUUCAGUUGCAAUGGAUCACACUAGGUGCGAAGGCAUAAGCCAAAAAGGUAAGAUUUGGCCAUGACAAAGAUAGCUAGGCCGAAGAAUUAGAACGUGGCUGUGACUAACCAUGAUGC